rnacentral:lncRNA from 1 species
AAGCAUACCAAGCUCUUCGUGUUUGCUGCUGGAGUGACUGUGUGUUCCCUUGCCCUUAGAUGAAGAAAUGCUUUCAAAACCUCUGAAGAUGCCUGAAUGGGUAUCGUGCAGCAGUUUUUGGUGUUACUGACGACCAGCUCUGACGAGAGUCUUCGGUUUCUUAGCUUCAGGCUGGACUUCAACGAGCAUUACAAAGCCAGGGAGCCCAGGCUCCGCGUGUCUCUGGGUACCAGGGGGCGGCGCAGCUCCCACACGUGAAGCUCGCGGUCCUCCCAGGGAGCUGCGGGUGAUGUUCGUUGCACUGCUAGACACGAAAUUCCCAUUGACGUCCUGCAGGAACUGCAUGCUGCAGGUGUCCUGCCCUUCCGCCCACGAGUGCGCCAUGUUUCAGCGGAGCGGCGUGUGGGAGAAGCCACGUCGUGUUGCACACGUCGGAGUUGAAUGCAUUUGUAAAUCACUAAGUCAAGUAGGCUGGCUGCACUGUUCACAUUUGUCUCUAAAAGUCUUCAUCCCCAAAAGAUACCAUAAUUUGCUGAGGCUUCUGAAUCUUAAGUGCUCUAAGUUAUAACUUAUAUUUGUCACUUUAAAAGAACUGUUUGUUUAGCAAAAUCUACAGCAAGGGUAUAUUUAUAAAGUGAUAAUGUCAUUGCUGUUAUUUAGCAUCCUCUUCAGAAACUUUUUUUU